AUGCCUGCUCAUGAUUGAACAAUAAAAAAUCAACAACAAUUAAAUUGCCGCGGUAACACCUGACCGUGCAAAGGUAGCACAACAAGCAGCCUACUAAUUAUAGGAUAGAAUGAAGGUAAAACGAAAUUUCAACUGUCUCAAGACCACAUGUCCAAAAUAGAAUGUGUGUGCAAAUCCACACCACAGUAGCAAGACGAUAAGACCCUAAGAACUUUACCAAAAACUUACCCACAAUAAUAAGCCACAAGUUUCGUUGGGGCAACGAUCUUAAAAAAAGUAACUAAGAUUCAACCAAUCAAGAAAAAAACUGACCAAUAAAUCUAAGCAACCGAUAAGACCCAUUAAACAAACCACAUUAAUGACAAAAGACAAAAGCUCCCUAGGGAUAACAGCGUUAUACCGUCAAUAGAAAACAAUCCAGACGAUGUUUGCGACCUCGAUGUUGAAUUACRA
rnacentral:rRNA from 1 species